AGUGAACGCUGGCGGUAGGCCUAACACAUGCAAGUCGAACGGCAGCACAGUAAGAGCUUGCUCGUACGGGUGGCGAGUGGCGGACGGGUGAGGAAUACAUCGGAAUCUACUUUUUCGUGGGGGAUAACGGAGGGAAACAUGCGCUAAUACCGCAUACGACCUACGGGUGAGAGCAGGGGAUCUUCGGACAUUGCGCGAGUGAAUGAGCCGAUGUCGGAUUAGCUAGUUGGCGGGGUAAAGGCCCACCAAGGCGACGAUCCGUAGCUGGUCUGAGAGGAUGAUCAGCCACACUGGAACUGAGACACGGUCCAGACUCCUACGGGAGGCAGCAGUGGGGAAUAUUGGACAAUGGGCGCAAGCCUGAUCCAGCCAUACCGCGUGGGUGAAGAAGGCCUUCGGGUUGUAAAGCCCUUUUGUUGGGAAAGAAAAGCAGCAGGUUAAUACCCCGCUGUUCUGACGGUACCCAAAGAAUAAGCACCGGCUAACUUCGUG
rnacentral:rRNA from 1 species